rnacentral:lncRNA from 1 species
UCGUUUUUGUUUUAUAAAACCAUUUUCGUUUUGUGUGUGUUUUGUUUAGUUAUUCAGAGAACGUUUUCUGUUUAGGUAGUUCUAGUGAGCAUAUUCAUUAGUUAGCGUUCGGCAGCGAACGUUUGUUAGAUAGGUUUUUCUUUUUCUGUUUUAAUUUCAGCCAGGGACCUAGAUGUAAUUAUCUUUCUUACAGAUUAGUCCCUCUACUUCAAACGGGCCACAUCUUUUUAUCCGUUUAUCCAAAUUCAACGAAACCAACGCCCACUUCUUCAUUAUGAUCCCCUCUAUCCAGUAAUCCAACUCAAACAUGUUUUUGAAAGUUUAAAAUUUGAAUUAGACCAGAUUUGAAUUCAAACUUUGUUUGAUCGUAACUUGAGUUUCGUAGCUCCGUUUGAGUUGAUUCUUUUUGCAAAUCGAGCUCUUGACCUAAACUUUCUGAUAAGGCCAAAUUGACAUAAUUUUGGUACUGUUAGAAAUUGUUUUAUGUUGCAAGAGUUAUUUACCUUGGCUCUGAUGUUUUCCGAAUUGUCCUUUUCGUUCUUUCCGAUCUUUUGAGUGAUUGCUUAUGUGUGGUUACCAUUGCUUGCUUAUGAUAGAUUGACCAGAGUGUGAAGAGUAGAUCUAUCAAGAGUUUUGAGUGCGAAUCAUCUUCAUCAACAGUACAGGCAAGUUCACACUUUGAUCAUAUCCCUUUCAUACCCAGUUUUUAUGCAUUAGUUUCAACCCCUCAAACAUUGCAUGAGUAGGAUUGACAACAUGUGGGAAUUGGGAAGUAGAUGAUGAGGUAGGAACCUAUUGCCCUUUUAUUCAACCCUUGGGAGUUACUUCUACGUUAUGCUUAUAUCGCCAUGCUAUGCUCGUAGACGUGGAUUGGGUUUGAGAGUAUCCAUGACAGAUGUGAGAUUGUUAUUUAAUGGUUAACUUAAGGUGGCUACUUUAAUACACAUCUGGGUGGAUUGAUUGGGGCACCCUGGAGUACCCAGUGGUUUGCCCGGGCACCUGGAGAACCCAAUGCUUGCCCAAGGGAAUCCCGGAGGACCCGUGUGAUUACCCUAUGGAAUGCCACCCAGGCUCAAAGGGAUCAUAAGAUUAUUCAUGCUAGAAACUUCCGUGUGCAGCCACAAGCCAUUAUGGGCUCUAGCAUAGUUGAGUAAGUUGUGUGAGCUCUUGAAGAGGUGGACUAGCAGAUGUAGGGGGAUUGUAGGUGUAACGGUCUGCCCGGAGUAGAGAGUAAAUGCUUCUGAAAGACUUUGUCUCGAUCAUCCGUUUCUCAAACACCAUGUAGUGCGAGAAAUCAAACGGAGGAGAUCGAGUCUUGUGGGGAAAAGUGCGCAAACCUCUGCAAAGUGUACAAACUAAUCAUGAUUAGCCGUGUCCCCGGUUAUGGACAUCUUGAGUAUCUAUUUCAUGGAUUAUCAUGUCGAUCUCAACACUUUAUUUAAUUAACUUGAUUGGGUUAAUGAUUAUUACGUUGGGAUUGAGUUGGAGGAACCUUCUCAAUAUUUUAUCAACCAACUUUGUAGUUAAAUAAAAUAUAUUCCUUUGUAGUAGGGAAAAAUUGGCUUUUCGCAAAAACUUUAUAACCAUAGAGCCUUUCCACCAACCAUAUAUGCAUGUAGUGAUAGUUAUUAUUCAUCAUUAUCCUAUGGUGUGAAUUUGCCAGUACAUUCAAUGUACUGACCCUUUGUGGCUGCAACGUCUCAUGUUGCAGGAUAUCUUACGACGAGUAAGUGAUACGUUAGGGUUAUGAUUUCUACACUCAACUCUGCCGUUGGUGUUGAUGGGAAUCCACGACCUUGUUGUUACUUCCGCUAUUUGGAUUGAGGUAAUAGUAUUUUUGUUACUUUAUACAUGUGAUUUACCUCUGUUAUAAAUCCUCGAGUACUGUGUGUGUCAGCAUACCGAUCCAGGGAUGACACUUAAGCACAGAGACUUGACCGUCUGAGGUCGGGUCGCUACAAGAUGGUAUCAGAGCACUUGUUGACUGUAGGACGUGACCCUAGAAACUGGCAAGCCCAUAGGAAAGAUUUUCUCUACAACUUUCUUUUCAAAAGAUCUUUUACCUCUCUUCUCUUCUGAGCUUAUUCAAAUAUUCCCUUUUAGUUAGACUAUACCCCCUUUCCCCUUUUAACCACACGAAGAUUCAACUAAUGCGACCACUCCAAGAAGUACAAGACAUCGGACAACCAAGACCACUUCGGAAUGAAGAGGAUUUUACCGUGCAUUAUGAUAAUGGAAACUACAACGGUUGAAGACUCCGAAGGCUAGGAGGAUUUGAAGGCUCUGAAGAAUUCCCAUAUUUGUAUGACCUAGGAAGGCUACCCUUAUGGAACUUGGCAGACUAUGGAAGCUGUCUAUACCCGAGAUCAAGAUGUAUCGGAGAAAGACCGGAACAUGGAGCAUUAGAACUCAAAGUUUUUGUCAAUAAAACCCUAAGACAGGAGAUAUGAAUUAUGGAAUGAUAGCUCAUGGCAAUGACAAGGGCAGAAACACGGCUAUCCAUGGUAUUAUCGCCCGCUUAUGCUAUUGGCAUCGUAAUGAGUUAAGCAUGCAUUUUUUUGGAAGGAUUGGAUGGGAGAAUGCUGAUGGAGCACCUAUCAGCAAAAGAUGAAGUUUAACCUUAGCUGGUGUAUCACCUGGAUCUUGAGAAUUACAUCAGGAGUUUUAAGAUGGACCUGCAGGAAGCCGUAUUUUGACAAAGAAGAAUUUCAUGAAGAACUCGGGACCAGAAAAUGAAAGUAGCCAAGCUGGAGGAGCAAAACCUCGAGAUACCGGAGAUUCGUCAGGAACUGAAGGACAGUAGGACCAUGGUUCAUGCCAAGGAUGUUAAACCCAGAAGUUUGGAACGCAACUCCAGAAAUAUUAAAGGACGUCACGAUAGACUUUGCGACAACAGAGAUGAUCUGGCAAAAGAACUUGAGUAGGACAAGCAUGAUCGAAAGAAGCCAUCGGAGACAUGAACAAGAAUCGAAGAGUUUGAUGACUUUGAAGAUUUAUUGACCUUUAGAAGAACAAACCCCUGUUAUAUACCUACGUAGAUGCGACGAUUGUGAGCUGUCAUUUGUUUGAUGUUUUUCGACAGCCACAAUAAAAAUCUGUCUUUUCAAAACUUUUGGUUGUAUUGUGUGCAUCCCUCUCUAUCUCUCUUAUCCCACCCCAGAGCCCUUAGAACCAAUAGAGGAUGAAUGGAGAUGAGCUUGUAUUUUCUGGACCGAUGAGUCAAUUGGAGACAGACCGAUGGAUUCAGAACAUGGAAGAUCAUAUGAAGAAUAACACUAUAGCUGGAAAGGAUAUGACCCAUCAUGCUCUUCAGUGCUUUGAAAGAGGUGCUGCUACUUGGUGGAGGAUGUACCAAACCAUGAAGGGAUGGCAAGGAGUAACCACUUGGAAGGAAUUUAAGUUGACUCUGCUAAAAUUUCGGUUUGUGUCCCAAAAAUUGAAGCCUUAUGGAAAGGAUAUGAAGAAAACUUGUGCAUGCAAGCUUUGUGGAGAAAUAGGACACAACAAUAAAGAACACAAGGAUGAAUGCCCUCAUUGUGAAGGAAGUCACCCAGCUGAAGAAUGCCCAACUAGGCAGAUUACUUGUUCUUAUGUGAAGGGACUACCCACUACCCUGCUCAGUGUCACAUUUACCCCAUGGUACAAAGAACCAUCCAGCAGAAGAAAGAAGCAAUGAAAGGAGCCCUCACGGAAAUUCUAGAAGAAACAGUGAUGAAGGAAGAGGUGGAGGACACACCCAAAGAAGAACCAAUUAAACCCUGCACCAAGUCAUGCUAUUCAUGUGGAGAAGAAGGACACAUCUCCCAGAAUUGUAUGAAUGGGGAUCUAGUAGAAUUCCCGACGGAGGAAGUAGAGUAUGACCCCCCAGGAAAUAGAAGCCCUGUUUGGAACGGAAAAGUCCAGGAAGAGAAGUAGAUUGGAUUCCAGGAAGGACCUUAGUCAUGUCACCUGUUUCAGGUGCAAGGAGUCAGGGCACUACCUCAGCAGUUGCCCAAAAAGGAAGCCAAGGACCCAAGGAGGCUAUAUAAUCACAAGGAAACCUCGAGACUUGUCAGAAGUAUUAUGUUUCCGUUGUGAUGAAGUAGGGUACUUUGCCAGAGAUUGUCCCAAGGAGGAGACUUGUGAUAAAUAGUUGAGUCUGUGAGAAGUAUAGUAGUAGUAGUGAGAACAUUUUCCUUUAUCUUGAGGCGAUGAGUUGAGGCAUGUAAUGGAAAAGCAAGAGAAUUGUAAUCGUUGGAGAAUCAAUAAAGUUAGCAUCGUUAGUAUUGAUUGGAUUUUAUGAGUUGUUACCCUAUGAAGAAAGAUUUUGACCAUUUUCGAGGAUAUGAGAAAUAUGGUCUAUGGAAGAAUUUGUGCAUUUCAAGGGUGGUAGUACCCUAUGAGGAGAUUUGACCCCUAGAGAGGAUAAUGAUGUUCCACGAAGUGGACUUCAUAAGUACGAGUUUUAUCUCGAUAUGUGGGAUAUCCCAAGAGUAUGAAGGGAGGAAUACUAUUGGAUAUAAAGGAGAUAUGAUGUUGGUAAUAUGGAGCAAUCGUAACUCCAUGAUGAGUAGUUUGGUGCCAAUAGAAGGAAGGGAGACAGUACAAUUGGAUGGAUUUAAGAAUGCUGGAAGCUUGAUGUUGGAAUAAUGAUCAGUUGUCCCAAGGAUGAGAUCAAUGCUUACAAGUGAUGAGAUGGGCCAUAACCCACAGGCCCCAGGACUUGCCAAGAAGCAAGCACAUUCUUGCUGAAGGAAAAACCCUGGAAGAAGUUACGAUUUUAUCAACAGACGAUUUUAUAGGAGUAACGCAAAACCUAAGAGUUGUGAAGAAACGAUAGAUGUUUGUUUGGCUUGCAGAAUCAAUGGAUUUUUCCGAACUUGGUUCGUCGACAAGAUAAACAUCUGCAAUGCUUGUGAGGAUGACCGAGUGUUAGAUUGCGAGGUUCGCUAAACCAUAUAUCAGGUAAUGAUUUGGGUGCGGGAUGGAUUGAUCACCAUACCGACUUACUCUUAUUAUUCGCCUUGCUAUAUGGGAUGGUAAAUCUGAGUGACUUGCCUAUAGUGGAGAGACGACGAUCAAAACCUUGUUUGAACCUUAGAAUGGUAUAAGUAUUUUUCCCUUGUACAAGGCAGCUUUUGCCAACCAUAGGUUAUACGGUGAGGAUCAACUAGACCCAUUUCCUGCAGGAGAAACCAUAAAUCGUUGACCACCAUGAGAUAUCGAUAGUUGUUUAGUUUUGGCGCCAGACCCGUCAGCUAAGAAGACCCAGUCAUGGAAGAACCUUACCAAGAUGAAAGGACAGAAGAAUUGUGGUAAAGGUUAUGCCACUAUCGGAAGAUCCGAGAGAAGGAAUUAUCCUGAAGAUCUGAGAAGACCGACACUGUCAACAAUAAGGAUGAAGUAUAUGAGUAUUGAUGAGACUAUAACGAUGUUUCUAAAGGGUGGUAGCACCCCAAACCCCGGUGAUGAUCGAUGGAUUUUGAGAAGACCCCCAAACCUAACAUAUUUCUUGCUAGCCUCUCCGAAUCUCGAGGACGAGAUUCAUUUUAAGGGUGGUAGGUUUGUAACAUCCCAAAGUUCUAAAUUUUGGAAUGUUAUAAUAAAAAGAUAGAUUUGAUUGAUUGUUUGAUUGAUUGACUGAAAGUGAGUGAAUUCGAAACUUUUUGAAAGUUAAAUGAGAGAGAAUAAAAGGACUUUCCCAAACUUUCACCUUUUUUGCAUUUUGAUCUUUGUGAAUUCAAAAAUCUUUUCAAAUACAAAACCCUCGAGAGAAGAUGACAUGACUUCUUCCAUUUAAUUAAAUGAGAAGGGUAUUUGAAAAUAUUUGAAUCUCAUUCGAAAAUAUUUCCAAUUCAUAAAACUUCAAGCAACUCAAUGAUUCUCAUGAGAGAAGAUAAAAUGACUUCUUCAAACAUAUGAAAUAUGAGUUGGGAGUUUAAAAGGAUUAAGUUUAAAAUCGCUUUUGAAAUUAUUUUCAUUUGGAGUUAUUUGGGUUUUAUUCAAUUAUUUUUCUCCAAAAUAAAAAUAUAUGGAAAAUAGGGUAACCUGAUUCCCUACAUCAAAAAAUUGGAGAUAAAUAAAUUUGAAAUCAUUUUGGUAUUUUUAAAAUGAUUUUUACUGGAUUUUACUAGAGCAGUAGCACUCUUUGCUUUAUUUAAAUUUUUGUGGAUUUUAUUUGGCAUUAUAAAAAUGUCCAUGUUGUAGAAAAUCUUUUUCUUCAAAUUCUGGUAUAUUACAUGCCUAUAUAAUAUUUUUGUUUAUUUUGUUUUAUUUAUUUUAGUUUGUCUAGAUAAAUGUUAAAAAAACAAAUCUUCCGCCGACUGGGCCGGCCCAGUUCCAGCCAGGCCGCGGCCCAGCCAGCCCGCGUCGCUCAUCCCCGAGCUCCGCUCGGUCUCCCGAGCCAGUACGAGAGCGCCGCCGCCGCCGUGACCGCCUCCAACUCCCGCCGCGCCUCCCUUGCCCCCUCCUCCACGUCUCGAUCCCCUCCCCUUCUAUAAAUAACUCCGCCCCAGCCCCGCCUCUCUCUCCCCUCGCAGAAGCCGUCGCCGCCCUCGCAUCUCGCGCCUCGCCGUCGCCGGUGAGAUCCGCCGCAACUGCCACCAUCGCUGCUUCUCGCCGCUGCUCCGCGCUGUGCCAACGCCGCUGCAUAGCCAAGCCGCCCGCCUCUGCCCGCCGCCCGACGCGCUGCCCCUCCCCAUCCCCUCCGCCGAGCCGGAGGAUCGCCGGAGCCGUCACCGCUGAACCGUCACGGUCGUCUUCCUCACCGUCGACGCCGCCCCGUCGAAAACCGCCCCGGGUUUUUUUGACGAAAACCGCCUACGGUAUAAAACCGUCCCGGUUUCCUCGUUUUUGUUUUAUAAAACCGUUUUCGUUUUUUGUGUGUUUUGUUUAGUUAUUCAGAGAACGUUUUCUGUUUAGGUAGUUCUAGUGAGCAUAUUCAUUAGUUAGCGUUCGGCAGUGAACGUUCGUUAGAUAGGUUUUUCUUUUUCUGUUUUAAUUUCGGCGAGUGACCUAGAUGUAAUUAUCUUUCUUACAGAUUAGUCCCUCUGUUUCAAACGGGCCACAUCUUUUUACCCGUUUAUCGAAAUUCAACGAAACCAACGCCCACUUCUUCAUUAUGAUCUCCUCUAUCUAGUAAUCCAACUCAAACAUGUUUUUGAAAGUUUAAAAUUUGAAUUAGACCAGAUUUGAAUUCAAAUUUUGUUUGAUCGUAACUUGAGUUUCGUAGCUCCGUUUGAGUUGAUUCUUUUUGCAAAUCGAAGCUCUUGACCUAAACUUUCUGAUAAGGCCAAAUUGACAUAAUUUUGGUACUGUUAGAAAUUGUUUUAUGUUGCAAGAGUUAUU